GGAAAACCAUAUUCUCCUCAGUCCGCCACCUUGUGAUGUUUGAGCGUAUGGAGAAACAACUGAGAAAGUUGUUUUAAGACAGUCGGUGUGUUGGUGGUCUCCAUUGCUUUAUUGUUUAAAGAAUCCUCCACGCUGGUUCCCACUGGAGGCUGAAAUUGUAUAUCAGAGUCUGGAAAGUGUGGAAACAGGGGCUUGGGACCAGCUCCCACUUAGCAAGGUGUGUGGCGUAAUGUGUUCUCUCCCUCUCUGCUGGAGUCUUCCAUUAUGCACUGCAACAACUGACAUCACAUCACCGGGGGACAGAGACAGCAGAUGCAAUCAUGCUAAUUCCUGAUCUGGAGCACAGUCUGUUUCCUGAGGUUCCUGAAUGCACCCUGUC